rnacentral:rRNA from 1 species
AGUGAACGCUGGCGGUAGGCCUAACACAUGCAAGUCGAACGGCAGCACAGUAAGAGCUUGCUCUUACGGGUGGCGAGUGGCGGACGGGUGAGGAAUACAUCGGAAUCUACUUUUUCGUGGGGGAUAACGUAGGGAAACUUACGCUAAUACCGCAUACGACCUACGGGUGAAAGCAGGGGAUCUUCGGACCUUGCGCGAUUGAAUGAGCCGAUGUCGGAUUAGCUAGUUGGCGGGGUAAAGGCCCACCAAGGCGACGAUCCGCAGCUGGUCUGAGAGGAUGAUCAGCCACACUGGAACUGAGACCCGGUCCAGACUCCUACGGGAGGCAGCAGUGGGGAAUAUUGGACAAUGGGCGCAAGCCUGAUCCAGACAUACCGCGUGGGUGAAGAAGGCCUUCGGGUUGUAAAGCCCUUUUGUUGGGAAAGAAAAGCAGCAGGUUAAUACCCCGCUGUUCUGACGGUACCCAAAGAAUAAGCACCGGCUAACUUCGUG